AACGCUGGCGGCGUGCCUAACACAUGCAAGUCAACUUGACUGAAGGAGCAAUCUGACAGUAGAGUGGCGCAAGGGUGCGUAACGCGUAAGUAACUUGCCCCAAGGUAAGGAAUAACGUCGAGAAAUCGGCGCUAAUACCUCAUAAUGCAGCGGAUCCGCAUGGAUAUGUUGUUAAAGGUUUACCGCCUUGGGAUAGGCUUGCGUCUGAUUAGCUAGUUGGUGUGGUAACGGCACACCAAGGCUACGAUCAGUAACUGGUCUGAGAGGAUGAUCAGUCACACUGGAACUGAGACACGGUCCGGACUCCUACGGGAGGCAGCAGUGAGGAAUAUUGGGCAAUGCUCGAAAGAGUGACCCAGCAACGCCGCGUGGAGGAUGAAGGUAUUCUAUAUCGUAAACUCCUGUGAGAGCAGACGAAAGACAGAUUAUUAAUCUGGAUGACUGUAUGCUCAGAGGAAGCCCCGGCUAACUACGUG
rnacentral:rRNA from 1 species